UGAACAUUCCAGGCUCUGUGAACUAAGGUAAGUAGGCCUCUCCAUCCUGAUAGCGAGGGAGGCCUCAUCGGGUUUGACCCCGGCAUGCUUUGACACCUUUUUCACUGUUGGAAGAUGCUCUGACUUUAAAGUAGAAAGCAGACUUGACUGAAGCUGAUUGACACAGGUCAAGGGGACUUCAAGGAAGAAAGCCAGCCUUAGACUGACAUCAGAGAACCAAACUCCGGUGUCUAAGCUCAAGAGGUUAGAAUCCUGAGAACUGUUUGGAAUAAGGAAUCCAAAUAUUGUCUUCCAGCUUCACCUUGUCACGACAGUCCUCGCCAGGGACAGCUGAGACCUCUUCUCUGCCUCCCAGCUCCCAUGGCGCCUCUCUCGAUACGUGGCCUCUUCUGAUACUUACCUCAGCUUGGACACAGCUCUCUGAAGAUCAUCUACAUCUCCAUUUAUGCCGUGUGCACGCAGUACCAACAGAGGUCAGAGGAGGGUGUCGGAUCCCCUGGAACUGGAGUCACAGAUUCUUCCUUGCGUGGAUGAAACAGUCCCAACGAACACUUUAAAAAGACAAAUGUUCCCGACAGCACUGGUUGAAUUCAAAACUCGGCAGAUCCAUGUUCUUAUCCUUAGACAAGAGAGGGGCCAUAACAAGAUGGAAUGACGGAACAGACGUGAGAGAUGAUGGUACAGUGACUCGGGUAACCCCAGAAAAGGGACAGCUCUUCUACAGCUCAGUGGGGACAGGGACAAAAAGAAACAAUUUCAUUUCAGUCCACCCAGAGGGUCUGCACUUCUCGGAGCCAGAAGGUGGAGAAGAGUAGGGAUGGAGGAAGUUCGAAGUUUUAGGAGUCUGCUCUUGGGUCCCUAGGCAUGAGGACAAGCUUUUCCUGUACUCAAUGCUCAUCUCUCAGUUGUGCCCACAUUGGUACACAUUACUUGCUUUCAACUGCUGCUGCUGCUGUUUCCUAAUUCAAUAAAGAUAUGGCUGGCUCAGCAGAGAGCUGUCAUCCA
rnacentral:lncRNA from 1 species